AUUCACUCUGCCGCAGAGGGGAGGACCAGGAAAACCAUAAUGUCUGAAGCUGUUCACAUCACUGGUUGUCCGCGUGAUUUCAACAACAUCUACUCUCAUCUGAGUGAAAGCGUCUCAAAGGCAUUGUCUCGUUCCAUUGCGAGUGACGCAUCAUUCAAAGAACAUGUCAUUAAUGGACUGCUCCAAACAAAACCUUAUUCUCAACUGCUUUAUUGCUCAGCUGAGCCAUGACUGUGAAUUGUCAGUGGUUCUCAAUUUAUGGGUCCCCCUAUAAGAAAGAAGAAUUGCAGGACAGAUCUUGACUGAUUGUGAAUUGCGAAGAUAAGAGGAAGAAAAGGAGGAAGGGAGAGAAUAAGUGAAUGGAAGCACUAUGUGCAGAUGAAGUAUUCCACCAAAUCAAGAGGGCGGUAAAAAGAGAAAAUAAUAAGACAUUACAUUACACCCUUCCUGAGUAUAAAGAUGAAAGACAGGAAAUUCUGUGGAAAAUGAAUCCUUUGCUUUCUACGCUUUUCCAGGGCAUUCUGUUUCUCUUAGAGCACAGGACAGGUUACAUCACAGCCUGGCACCCAUUUUGUCUCAUCAACAAAAUAACUAAAAUGUUUUUAAGAUGGAAGGGUUUUUAUUCACCCACGACAACAUUAUGACGAUUAAAUUGAAAGAGGGCUGGGCCAAAUGCAGUUUAAAAAGAUGUCCA